rnacentral:lncRNA from 1 species
AUGAAUAAGGCUACGUCCACACGUACCAGCGUAUUUUUGAAAACGCUGAUUUUUCUAUGCGUUUGCACCUUUUGUCCACACGUAAUUUAUGUCUGGCCGUACAUUGUGUUUGUAUUUCCAGGCACAUUUCACGAAGCAGAACGCAGUCUUCAGAGAUAUCCACGUGAACGCUGUGAUACGUCUGACCUUCAGUCCGAAGAAGAAACCCAGACCAGUCUUAAAAGAAAGCACAAACCAAAUCCCCUGUACACAUAUACGGACUCAGAGGAUGAGCAACCUACAAAAAAACGGUUUCCCCAGGCCCCUCGAGUGAAAAUACCAGCCCUCAUCACUCCAGUCUGCCCCCCAGCCCACUGAUAGCAACCAUCAUAAUGCCCCACCCAGCUUCCGGCACCUUUCGCCACUCCGGCACAAACCGACACAGCUUUGCGAUCUCGCCAGCAUGCAGUCUGAUGUCUUCCCUAUAGAUGGUAUGCUUUUAAAAACUCUUAUCUCUUAUCUAAAAAAAAACAAACCCCAAUUUAUACUCCUGAAUGUCAUCUUGUUGUGAUUUUUUUUUUUUUUUUUUUUUUUUUUUUUUCCUGCAGAUUCCAGAGACUCUGUGAGGCCACUAUUACAAGGCAAGUUUGAAAAUCUUGGAAUUUCACAGUUUACAUGGUAUAACAAAUAUAUGUGACAGGCAAAAACUAGUAAACACUUUUAGCAGUUACAAGAACUAACAAAUGAAUAUCCAACAAAAGGGAAUAGAAAUACAUUGUACUGCCAAUACUUUGGUUUAUUCUUUGUAUGACUUGAAAAUCAGGCUUUAGGGAAAACUAAAUGACAUGUUUCUAUCAUCAAUUACAUGAAGUAAACACACAAGCACUUGCAUACACAUUUAAGACAUGAGACACGCUAAUUCCAUCUCUUAAAAUGUGUCUAUAGGUGAGACGCUUUGCGUUGAUUGGUGCUGCUGGACCACACUGGAGGUGCGAGUCCGCCGUGUAAUGGUUUAUGCCAUUACAAAGGAGCUGGCCUCUGUACUCAACUGGGCAGGGAAAAAAAACCAAGGACCAGACAAAGCAAAAAAGGGCAUUUAAAGAGACAGCGCUGUGCAGAUGCAUAUUUGGUAAGUUUUACUGUUUAUUGUAGUUUUAUGAGCCUAAAGUGAACAAUAAAGGGAUCAAUUGAUGUGCUGGGUGCGUUUCACAUUUCCUAUGUUUUUUUUUUUUUUUGCUAUAUUACUUUGUCUUUCUUAAUAACAAGACUUUCAUGUCCGGUUAAUCUGGAGAUGGAGUCUUUGGUCUUCGGCUUGUUUUGUCCUCGGGUUGUACACUUUGUACAGCCCGAGGACCCCAUGUUUUCUUUUUCUUUUUUUUUUUAAAGGAUACACGGCACACCAUGCUAAGACAUAUCACAUUUUCAGCUUAUAGCUCUUUGGGAAUCAAAUGCAGCAGUUUGCUGAUUUCCGCCUGGUGACUUUCAUGUUUAUCAGCCUAGGAGUUUACAUACUUUCUCCCUGCUGAAGACAAUUAACAAGAGCUUAUUCAUGUGCUCUAAUUCCCUUUUUUUUGUCUUUGUUUUUUUUUUGUGUGUGUGUGUCUAUUUUUGUCCUAGAUGGCCUGGCGCAGCAGGUAGGGGCGAACUCUGUCUGAGUUGGUCUUUGCUUAAGCAGUCCAGAAAUGGCUCAGAUAUGCUCCAGAUCGUACGGGUGGCGCGCAGGACACACAUCAUCCAUCCCCAUCCUGGAGUAAAUAAUAAAAAGUGACGUGAAACAUAGAAAUGUAAAUAGGAAACUUUGUCUUUUAAUAAAGUAUUUUGCAAAUGAUACAUGUCUAUUGACCUUUUUUGUUUUUUUUUGUUUUUUUUUUCAAUAAAAAGCAACUGUGCAAAAGAGGUGGAAAAUUAACACCAUAGCUCAACAGUGUUUCAAUAUCAGAAUCUGACAUUGUUUCAAUGUCAACAGUAUUCGAAAAUAUAACGUCGAAUCAAUGUCAGGUUUCAACAUUGAUUCAACAUCAAAACCUGACGUUGUUUCAACGUUAAAAAUGGGUGCAAGAGUGACGUUGGGUCAACGUCACACUUCAACGUUGCUUCAAUGACGUCGCCUGAUAUUGACUCAACAUUGUUUCAAUGUUUCCUUGCUAUCUGGGGUGCUUUUAGCACCUCGUCUGGAUCAGCCCUUCAAGCUGUAUGUGGAUGCAAGCCACAUUGGUGCAGGUGCUGUUCUAGUCCAAGCUGACAAGCAAGGUACUGAACAUCCAGUUAGUUUCUAUUCCAAGAAGUUCAACUCCCAUCAGCUGAAUUAUUCAGUCACUGAAAAGGAAGCUUUGGCAUUAAUUUUGGCCUUGCAGCAUUUCAGAGUAUAUUUGGAUUCUGCUCGGCCUAUUGAGGUAUUUUCUGACCAUAACCCUCUCACUUUCUUGAACUCAUUGCAGAACCCAAAUCAGAGGCUCAUGCGGUGGGCUCUCUUUUUGCAGCCUUACAGUUUGGACAUCCAGCACAUUAAGGGCAAAGAUAAUGUCUUGGCAGAUGCUUUGUCCCGUGCCCCUUUGUAACCAGCAGCUUCACUCCUCAUAUGCUUUGAAGUAUGUCUCUUCCAGUGUCUUAUUCCUUCCUCUUAAAUUGCUCCUAGGUACCAAGGUUGCUGAGGUUGGAGAUGUGCUGAAGAUGAAAGGACUUUGAGCAUGCAGAAAGGUGUUUUCAUGGGUGUACAUGUGUACAUGUUCGUCUAGCUGCAAAUUCAUAAUGUAAAUGAUUGUGUUUGUCAACUCAGGGUAAGACCCUGUUCUAUGGGGGGGAGUGUGACGGCCAGUGGGCUGGCCUUGUGUUUUGUUUUUUCUGUUACCUGUUUCCUGCAGGUAGGUGGAGCUGACCCAAUUACAGAUGCAGCACACCUGAGUAGGCCAGUCCCAGGGCAUAUAAAAGACACUAACUGAACCAGCUGGGUCUCUCUUGCUCUGACUGGCUCUGUCUCUGGCUCCCGUUUUGUUUGUUUGGAAGUUUCAGUUAUGGCUAUUAUGUCCUUUACAUUGUGUUUAAGUUACUUUACCUUAUUUUCAUUAAAUAUGUUUUACAGCCUUUAGAAGCCUGUGUGUGGUCUCCCAUUUGUUUGUCACUUCCUAUGAGCCGGGUUGUGACAAUUCACAAAUGUAUCAUGAUUUCACAAAUAUCUGUCUGUUAUUUGAAAGAUUGAACUGUUGAAUUCAAAUGUAAUGCUAUGGAAAAGUAUAUAACAUGAUUCCUAUAAGCUUGUGUUACAUCACAUAAGUAUUAUUAUCAUUGCUGUUUAGGGCGAUCGUGGCUCAAGAGUUGGCAGUUCGCUUUGUAAUCAGAAGGUUGCCGGUUGGAGCCCUGGCUCGGACACUCUCGGUCGUUGUGUCCUUGGUCAAGAUUCUUCACCUACUGCCUAGUGAUGGCCAGAGGGGCCGAUGGUGCGAUAUGGCAGCCUUGCCUCUGUCAGUCUGUCCCAGGGCAUGCAAUCCAUUAUUAUUUAAACCAACUGUUAACUGUAUAUUUCUGUACAUUUACGUAUUAUGAUUCAUAUUGCCACAUUCAUUGACCUUGUUUAUAGGUAAUUUCAUUAAUCACGUUAAAAUGUUCCUAAUUUAAUGUCUAAAAGCACUUGGAAAUGGCAGAAUCCCAUGUAAAAUU